rnacentral:tRNA from 1 species
UCCGGGGUAGCUCAAUGGCAGAGCGAUCGGCUGUUAACCGAUAGGUUGAGGGUUCGAGUCCCUCCCCCGGAG